CUAUAAGAACCCCACAGGCCACGUCCACCAUUUCACAUUCUCCAAAUCCGACUGAUGUGAUCUUCUGCUCUGUUUCAGUGCUCCUAUCCUCACCUCAAGCUUGCUUCCACUGCUAACAAAUUCUCUGCUCUUACUGAUGAUCUCUUGAAUCAUCAAAGGUUCAAGAGAACAGAUUAGAACUGGGCAGAAAUGUUUGGUACCCUAACAAUUGGAAUCAUGAUUAGAAGCAAAGAGUUUUCACAACCUGUGAUUUUUUGGAGUUUUUGAUUCAAUAAACUUGCGGAUCUUAAUACAUGAGGUCGUAAUUGACAUUCAUGAGGAACAUGAUGACUGAAGUUGGAUAUGAUUUGCAAUACUUAUGUGAUUCAUGUAAACUGGAGUGAACAUGGAGCCUUGGAUGUGAAGUCUAUCCAACUAGCCGAGCUUGCAGCCACAGCAGUAGAUUUUCCCAAAACUUGAAAGCUUGUAACCAUGUCCCACUCACUAAAACCGAAAAUUUACCCAGCUUGCAUGUCCCACUCACUAAAACCGAAAAUUUAUCCAACCUGCAUGUCUCAUUCACUAAAACCGAAAAUUCACCAAACCUGCAUAGUCUCACUCACAAAAAUCGAAAAUUCACCCAACCUACAUGUCUCACUCACUAAAACAAAAAAUUUACCCAAUCCUGCAUAUCCCACUCACUAAAAUCGAAAAUUUACCUAACCCUACAUAUCUCACUCACUAACAGACCCCCUACCAAAAAAACAACAAAUUCAGCCUUAUCCCAACUUAAUGGGGGUGGACACAUGUCCUACUCAUUAAAACCUUACAACACAUCCCACUCACUAAAACCGAAAAUUUACCUAGUCAAGCUUACGGCCACAACAGUUGAUUUCCAAAAAAUUGGAAAUCCUGUGACCAUGUCCCAUUUACUAAAACCGAAAAUUUACUCAGCCUCCAAGGAUUGGAACAUGUUAUACAGGUCAAACAAAACCUUGGGGAAGACUAUAUCACCAAAUCAAAGAUGCACUAGAGGAAGCUAUGACAACAAAUUCAGAGCUAACACUACAUUUCUUCGAUCCAGAUCUAAUCGAGAUUCUGGGUAAUGAAGGUUUCAUCAUUGAUUCCUAGAAUAACAAGUGCACAUCUGGUGGGCACCUGAGUUUUCUUCUGGCCUAGUUCCUAUUACCAUUGCAAGAAGCAAUGGGAGCUGAAAAAGAGGCUUAAUGGUGCCUACAAUACACCGAGGAAGGAGUUACAGGCUAGUUUAAGAGAACAUGGAUGAAGAUUUCCAACAACUCAUUAAUGACAAGAAGAAUGCCAUACAUGAACAAAAGGCAUCAGUAUGGUAUCAGGUAACUUACCACCCAGAGUGGGUGAAAAGAAAAUCCCUGGAGUUGACAGAUACCGAAGGCAACAUCAGCAAAACUACAAUGCUUAGCUUUGCUUCGAUCCCUGCCGAUUACUUGGUGUGGCUCAAGAUCAAACGUCUGAAGGAUAACAUUGAUGUGGAUAUAUAUCCACAACCCUAUCAAUGCGCUUCUGAGUUACCUUUCAGAUUGAAUUUUACUAGGAAGGGUGAGGCUCUUGUUAUGAGAUAAUACUUCCAAGUUCUCAUGUCAUAAUCUGUUCUGUUGUCCUCUUGGGCCGCAAGGUCUCACUCUGCCAAUGCUUAUUUUACUUUCUAAUAUUCCAAUGUUUGUAUAGUUUCAUAGCUUUCCUAAAUCUAUUACAACAUUAUAUGCCUUUUUUUUUUUCCAAUGGAAACGCUAUAUGUUUAAAGCUUAUGUGUUCUAUUAAUAAAGGGAGUCUGGUUUUUUCCCAUGCUUGCCUGCCCAACUGCCCAAGUCUUCAAUCCACUACUUUUCGGAUUUAAUUUUGCAAAAGGUUUCUCUCUCUCUACAGAAGGAGAAGAGAAUGGAGGGUUAUAAAGUUUCCCAACCCCCCACUACAUGAAGGCCACGCUGCCCUUAUAGUCCCAUCCAAGGUUUUAAAAGAUGGAAUCAGGAACGGAAUUGAUCCCAAAACCCUAGAAUUGGUCCUCAGAUUAAAAAAAAACAAAAACAAAAAAAAGGGGAAUUCUAUGGUUUUUGGUGUGAGUUGACCAUUAUUGAAUUGACCUUAAUCAAGAUCAGUCACAACUAAUUCUGGUCCAUAUUGACAACAAAGACGGAACGUUUAAGAGGAACUCAGUCCUUCAAUUUUGUAGAGAAUUCCAGGCCGCACUAAUAGUGCACUUGGUCUUUCGCUCUAAUAAGUUAAUGUUACCACAUGGUAGUAGCUGGUGAUUAUAUCAACCGAUAGGGAUUCCAUUGAUAUGCCAAAUAUAAAAUUUGGUCACUCACUAACAGCAACCUAGAUCGACAUGAGGAAGCAUCAGGGUUGAAAAAGCCGAAAUUUGGAUCUGAAAGAGUCUUUCGAUUCUGAUCCGAGAACCCUAGCCCUACUGAUUUUAAUAAUUGGGAUCAAUCCAAUCCAGAUCAACCCUAAACGGCUGGUCCCAUCCAAUUUUUAAAUCCCGGAAAGGCAUUCCAUAUCAUAAAUCACUUCUGGCAAAAUUACUUGUUAGUUCGUCACUCAAUCUUUGUAAAUAAGUUGUCCAUAUAUGUUCUUAAAAAAAAAAAGGGCUUACCCAAUGCAUGAGGUUCCCAUGAGCGAGCUUGUUUACAAAGUAUAUGUUGGGCUAAGCAAUGGAGGCGAACCAAUAAUUUUGAUGUGUCCCUAGGGGAUGAACAUGAAAUGCCCUCUUGGAAUGUAAAUCUAAGUUCAAUUUUUUUUCCAAAAUGAGAAUGGAUGCAAAUCUGUGCUUUCAUGACAAAGUUGUAUUCCAUGAAGGACCAUAGAUAGAUGCCAUUAGGUAGGGUGUUACUUGCGUAUCCUUUGUCAGUAAGAGGUACUCCAUAUGACUGCAGGGGUUGUCACGGACAAAAAAUUGCAAAUCCUUCUCCAGAGGGGGAUUGCUUCUGAUCACAGAACAAACUUUUUAUAGAAGAAUGUAUUUACACCUCUAGUGGAACUUGCUAAAUCAUCAUAUCAUUAGGUCCUCAGAAUAGCAUGGUAAGAAUAUCAUUAGGUCCACUACAGGUGUAUGGAACUAGCUAAAUCAUCAUCAUAUGCUUAGGUCCUAAAACUACAACAAUUCCAAAGCAUGGGCCCAAUCAAGCAAAUGUAAUAAAAAAAUAAAAAAUAAAAAAUAAAAA